GAUGAACGCUGGCGGCGUGCCUAAUACAUGCAAGUCGAACGAAAAGACCCUGCUCUUGCUGCUCUCACGUUAGGCGAGGGCGGGUGUAUAACACGUGGAUACCCUCCCUAUCAGUCUGGGAUCUCUUCGAGACUCCGGAUCUUAUCGCGUAUAAUCUCUUGCACCGUGUGGUUCAUUGGUAAAUUUCGGUUUUGCUGUCUCUUCUAGCUGGUUCCGCGCCGGAUGAGCUGGUUGGUACGGUAAAGGCUUACCAAGGGGAGGAUGCGUAUCCGACCUGAGAGGCUGAUCGGCCACACGGGAACGGAGCCACGGACCAGACGACUAAGGGAGGCAGCAGUAGGGAAUCGUCCGCAAUGGGCGAAAGCCUGACGGAGCAACGCCGCGUGAGUGAUGAAGGUCUUCGGAGCGUAAAACUCUGUUAUUAGGGAAGAACAAAUGUGUAAGGAACUAUGCACUUCGUGACGGUACCUGAUCAGAAAGCAACGGCUAACUACGUG
rnacentral:rRNA from 1 species